GAUGAACGCUGGCGGCGUGCCUAAUACAUGCGAGUCGAGCGAACAGACGAGGAGAUUGCUCCUUUGAUGUUAGCGGCGGACGGGCGAGUAACACGUGGAUAACAUACUUCUAAGUCUGGGAUAACUUCGGGAAACAGGAGCUAAUACUGGCUAAUAUAUCGAACCGCAUGGUUCAAUAGUGAAAGACGGUUUUGCUGUUAUUUAUAGAUGGAUCCGCGCCGCAUUAGCUAGUUGGUAAGGUACCGGCUUACCAAGGCAACGAUGCGUAGCUGACCUGAGAGGGUGAUCAGCCACACUGGAACUGAGACACGGUCCAGACUCCUACGGGAGGCAGCAGUAGGGAAUCUUCCGCAAUGGGCGAAAGCUUGACGGAGCAACACCGCGUGAGUGAUGAAGGUCUUCGGGUCGUAAAACUCUGUUAUUAGGAAAGAACAGAUGUGUAAGUAACUAUGCACGUCUUGACGGUACCUAAACAGAAAGCCACGGCUAACUACGUG
rnacentral:rRNA from 1 species